CCUUAAGAGAACCUAAUUGGUUAAAAGUAAACCGCUUCGAUUUCUGCUUACAGCUCCGGUUCUGUCCGCAGCUGUUAAUGUUUCCAGUUUCCUAAUUUCAUUUUUACUAACCCGCAUUUUCACUCGCACCAAUUCUCAUUUCUUCUCCUUCUGCUUCCUUAGUUCGAAAUCCUCUAGGGCGAAAGUCACACACCACCCCAUUUUCUCGCACCACCUCUCCUCACCUCACCUCACUCUCAACCUCCAUUUCAUCUUCUUCUGCUAUCGAUUCGUACUCACCACCAAUAACUUCAACUUCGACCUCCAAUAUAAAAAGAAAAUUAAAAAUAUCAACUUCUUCCUCUAUUUUUGCGUUUUUUCUUCAUUCGCCGGUGACUCGAUCAAAAAUCCCCAAAAUUUAGGGUUUGUUCAUCGUAAUCAGUCCUGCUCUUGAUUAAUCCUCAUUUAUGCCUUUUGAUUUCUACGUUUCUUCUUCUCUUGAUCCGUCGGACGUCGCCACGUCUUCGCCAAGACAGCCCAGGUCACCAACCACCAACCUCUGCCAGCUCAACUUGGUGAUUUCGUUUUUUAAUUAGUUUGUAAUUAGGGUUUCUUUUUUAGGGUUUUUGUUUUUUUCGAAUUACUGGAAUUAGGGUUUUUAAAAUUUUCGAAUGACUGGAAUUAGGGUGAUUGGCCGUUAUCCUACUACUUGUUGUUAAGGUUUUCAUGCGAUGUUAGUUGUUUGUAGUCGUUUCUAUGUCAAACUUGAAUUGAUUUUUCCUAUUAUUUUGUGGUUCUGAUUGUAAAGAAUCGAUUGUUUGCUUGAAUUGGGUAAUGUAUAUAUAUUAUUUGUUAUUAGUAAGUUUGAAGUAAAUUAUGUGGUUUGUGGAGUGCAUUUAAUUCGUAUUAUUUGGUUAUCUGAUGUGGGUUUUUCCAGGGUUUGCUCUAAAUUGCUGCAUUUUUUCUUGCCUGAAAUUGCUCUAAAUUGCUGCAUUUUUCCUCCCACGCACUUUAGAACCGAGAGAGCAGAAAAUUUCCUUUCUCAUAAGUUGCUGUAAACAUAUGGCAGCUACUAAUUUCACCAUGUAUAUGGUAUUGGUUAGUUAUUACUUGUUAGUUUUUUGUAGUGUAGUUAAUGGGUGUUAAUUGUCCUGACAUCUGAGUUGGUGAAUAGUUUUGUGUUGAUUUUGCUGCUUUCAGUUAAAUUUGAUUUGUUAUAUACUUAUUAUUUUUUUUAAAUUUAUCGUAACUAUUGGAGAUAGAUACUUCCUCUGUCUGAAUUGCUUUUUUUAAGAUAUAUGAUGAAUUGUUUGGAUAAUUUAGGUUGAGUUUGUCUUGUUUUUGAACUUCUUUUUUCUCAUUCUUUCAAGAUUUAAGCUAUGGAGUUAUCUGGGUAUCCAAGAAGAGAAUAUUUUGUUGGUUGUCAUAAUCUUCAAAUAACGAUUGAAAUCAUCACAUGAGGUUCUAAACUCGAUAAAAUGAAACAUUUUAUUGUCUUGUACCAUUAAUUGAUUGUGUCUAAGGUAGCAAAUGUUGUGUAAGUUUCUUUCCUUUUCACUACACAUUACUCAACAAAUGGAAGCGCACAUCCAACUCUUCUUUAACCUAUAUUCUCUCAGCAAUGUUGAAGGGCUGAAAUUUAGUAAUACAAUGAUCAACUAUUUCAAGCUUUUCAGUGCAACACAAAGCACAAACUCUGAAACUCAUAUCCUAGUUUGAAAGACACUUCUUAUACUAAUAUUAGAUUAUUAUUAGCCAGCACGAUUUCUAGCCGAAGUGACGAAUUUCAGGCAAGACAUUUAAGCACCACAACCUCAUCCAAUUCCUAUGACUCUAUUUUGAGAACUCCCUUUUUACCCACGAUCGUCUAUAGAACGCAACAUGUGGUAAGCUGAUUUGGCAGUAUAUUCUCCAUGGAAUGAAUAUUUGCCCAAUAGGUUCUUUACUAACAAUUGUGAAACCUUGGCCUUGGUAGGAGAAAUUACUCUAUAGUAGAUAGGAAGCCAUUUUACAAUGACUUUUUCUUGAUCUGCCUUGUUUGGUGGUGUUUUUAGAUUGCAUUUGCUGAUUUUAAUUGGAGGAUCUUUCAGAAAAGGAGUAUCGUAUGUUAGAUUUUUAGUCCAUGGAAGUAUGUGAUUUAAGAUCUGUGCUUUUCUGCCUUUAUUCUGAUUGGUAUAUAUGACGAACGUGUUUUUAAAACUAUUUUGUAUCUUCUACAUAUUAAAAUCACGGAAGCCUUGAUGAGUGCACAUAUUGUGAAUGUUCCUGACUGUCAUGUAAAGCAAUGUAAUCACUCUUUACUCACAUCCACUUGCCCAAGAUUAAUUAGAAAGCUACACCAGAGUGUAUAUGGGAUGCUGAACAACUCCAAAUUCACAAACUCAGUUACUGCUUCAAUCCAGCCACUUGAAGCUUCAACCACAUACCGCUUUGACAACACACUGCCAUCCAAAGAAAUGCUCAACUUGUGGAGAAAUGUAGAUGUUGUUUGCUUUGAUGUUGAUAGCAUUGUGUGCGUAGAUGAAGGUAUUAAUGAAUUUACCGAAUUUUGUGGAGCUGGAAAAGCAGUUGCAGAGUGGACAUCAAGAUGAAAGUAUUGAUGAAAUUACCGAAUUUUGUGGAGCUGGAAAAGCAGUUGCAGAGUGGACAUCAAGACCAAUGAAUGGUACAAUUACCUUUCAAAAGGUGAAGGAUUUAUGUCCUCGACUUAAAUGCAAUUACGAAUGUAUAAUGGAUCAUAUUAUAGAGAUAAUUAGUUCGUUAUAUUGGGUCGUAUAUACGUCUUGCUAGUAAAAACUAUAGAACUUCGGAUUAGUAAAUAAAUAAACUCGAAGCCCAAUGUAACGGAUCCUACAAGGUCACACAUUGAACUUGGAUCAACAAAAGAAACCUAGAGCCCAAGAGGGCCCUAGGGUGGUCGGCCAAGAGAGGGGAAAAGGAGAGAAUUCUGACCUAAAUACUUAUAUAUAUAUGGGUUAGGCAGAAAAGAAAAUCAUCAGUUUUAUUCUAUUAAUAUUUUCUCUCUCGUAUUCUCUUUCUUUCAAAGUCACAUAAAAACUCCAAAAACAAGAAAGAAGUUUUCUUCCUUUCCAACUAGCAUUGGUGGAUUGUUGAUCCGGGUUGGUGGACUAAGUAGAGGAAUCACAUAUGAGAUUCUUAAUCUGGGUUAUUCAAGCUUUGUGGAAUUCACGCUACAAAGGUUAUUUCUAAACUUCUAUGUGAUCCUUAAUUGUAUAUGCAUGUGAUUCUGAUUUAAGUGCUUAUGAAUUUGAUUCAUGAAAUUCCGCUUUAUAGUACUUAUAGAUUCUUACAAUGGUAUCAGUUUUAGCCUCUUGCAUAUAGAGUUUUGGUCAUAAAGUUUAGUUUUUGUAUGGUUAAUUUUAAUUUGAUUAAGGGGAGGAAUUAAAUUAUGGAUUGAAUAAUUAAUUGAAAUUUGUUAAAAGGAGUUUUAAUUACUUGCUUUCUCAAUAUUUAAUAGCCGAAAUUUUCUCCUCCUAAACCCUAAUUUUCGAAAUUUAUAAAAUUCUGAUUUUAGAUCUUUAAAUUUCGAAAAUAAAUUCAUGUUAUUAAUAAAAUUUUCAUGCUCAAAAUCGUUUAUGUAUGAAGAUAAAUUCAUGUAAAAAGUGUUUUAUAUGAAAUAGUGAUUAAUUAUAUGAAUAAAUCUGAAAAUUAAUUAAAAUAGAGAUUUUAAAAUUUAAUUUUCUGUAUUAAACAUAAAAAGUUAUGUUUAAUUUAAUCAAGAUCACGUAAUUAAAUUUACAAGAGGUUGUAUUUUUAAUAUCCUUCAGGAAAAAAAAAAAGAUUUGAAAAACAGAAAAGAAGGAGGAAGGGGAGCAGCCACCGUGGCUGCUCCGGUGGUCUGCCGGCGAAAAUGCCGGAAAGGGAGACGCUGACUGCCGGCGAGCAGUCGCGUCGGGGGGAAAAGGGUGGCGGCAGCACUGCUCACUCGUCGCACGGUCGCUCGCAGAGCAGGGCUGCUCGCUACCGGUGUUAUACGGCGGUGUCGGGGAGCGAAAGAAAAAGUCGGCAAGUUCGCCGGCGAGGUGACCUGCGAAGGUCGUCGGGUUUUGCUUUUGGUCCGGUCAUCGUCGAGCGUGAUAGUAGCCUUGUGCUGCUGUGUUUCACGGAUGUUUUCAAAAUUUAAAUAAAAAUUUUUUUUUUUUAAAAAGAAACGUGACUAAAAACUGGGCAGCAACAAAAAAGUUUUUUAUUUUAUCUUUUGGAAAUUUUAUUUUGAAAACAGAAUUUUGAGAAAGAUGAGUAAAUUUCAAUUAUGCUGACUUGGUCAUAAAUUUCAAUCCAUAAUCUGAUUUUUUAAUCUAAUUAAAUUUAAUUAGGCUAGUUUUAAGGGAUAGAAUCUUUAGGUGAUUAGUUAUUACUUAAAUUUUAUCCUCUUGCUUUAAUUAAGUAUAUUUGAUAUUUUAAUUGAUUGGCAAGUAUAAUAUGUGAUAUUGUUAUAUGGCUUUUAUAUUAUGAUAUAUUUGCUAUGUAUGACUAGUAUAGCCCAAAUUAAGAUAGAAAAUAUGAUCUGCAUAUCGGGAUGUAUUCUUGUAAUUUUAAAUACGAUCUGCAUAUCGUUAAGUAUUUUUGUAAAUUAUUUUGAUACUUAUGUAAUCCAAAGAAGUGCUCAUCAAGAGAAGGCCCAUUGGAAAAGGUGGAUGGAGAUCCAUAAAGAGUCCAAGCGAGAGCCAUUGAUGAUUAGUUCUUAGGAUUAGGGGCCAUACUAGAUCAUUUUAUUUUCGCAUUUUAUUAUUCUUUAAAAUGCUUAUAAGUUUAUUGUAUGUUGGUUGUUGAUGCGCUAGAGUUCACUAAUUCAUAACAACAUAAUAAACUUAGGCCCCGUAAAUAUUAAGGUUUGCUUUUCCAAACAUAAAGUACUUAUAAAACCCUUAAUUAAUAGUAAUAGGUCAUGCCUCCGCAGGGUGUUAUCAUUAAUUUUGGGAUAUAAGGUAAAAUUGCAAAUUUUACAACUUAGUUUGGUUGUCCUUAACAAAUUAUCAAAAGCGUUUUGAAUUUUGAAGCAAGAGAUAGUUAAACAUGCGAUGUUUAUCCAUGUAAACAAGAGUUAUAAAGUGUUAUAAUUAGUAAAAGAGUUUACUUACCUUGAUAAUGUAACGUUAAGAAAAGGCCUCCGUCUGCUUAGUGUUGCAUGUUGAUAGGAUCUUGUAAAUCACUUAUUCAUAGGGGACUUUAAUUUGAAUAGGUGGUCAACCUAGAAACCUUUUACAUGUUUUAGGUUGCUUUAAUUUAUAAACAUAAAAUUGAACUUUGCCUUGUUUUUCUGUCUGUAGAUAUCAUGUCUAAUAACAACAACAACAACUCCGGUUUCAACAUUCGUCCUUUUCUGGAAAAGGACUGACUGAAUGGUGAAAAUUUCCUUAAUUGGGAAAGGACUUUAAGACUCGUUCUGAGGUUUGAGGGUCGAGAGGACGUCUUAGAUACCCUGCUUCCUGUAAUAACUGAUGAAUCAACUGACGCUGAAAAACGUCGUGCAAAACAGGCUAGUGAUAAGUCUAUACCAAUCACUUGUUUGAUGGUAGCAGCCAUGGAGCCGAACCUCCAAAAGAGGUUCGAAACCAAGGAUGCCUACACGAUCAUGCAAGAGCUGCGGACCAUGUUUAAAACUCAGGCCCGAGUUGAGCGGUAUGAGACUAAUAGGAAGAUACUUGAAUGUCACUUGAAGCCGGGUCAAGCUGUUGGCCCCCAUGUGUUCGAAAUGAUGGGUCGUCUUUUCGAAAACAUGGAAAGACUUGGGUUUCCUUAUAGGCUCGAGUUGGCUACAGAUAUUAUUCUCCACUCACUGCCUGAUAGUUUCAAUCAGUUCAGAAUGACCUACAAUAUGAAUGAGUCUGAAAAGACUUUGCAAGAGCUGCAUGGAUUGUUGGUCAAUGCUGAAAGGAACAUCCCUAAUGCUGAAAUGGAGCAGGAGUUGCUGCACUUGCCGUCGGGAGCUAUAGUCUACACUUGCCAUCUGGGCUUAUUUUAGAAGUAAAUAAUUGUUAUUUCGUUCCUACAAUAACUAAGAACAUAAUUUCGGUUUCAGUUUUGGAUCCUGAAGGUUUUUGCUUUGAAAUAAAGAACAAAUGUUGUUCCAUUUCUUACAAUAAUAUUUUCUAUGUCAGAGCUAAUUUGAUAAAUGGUUUAUAUGUGCUUAAUAAAUCAUUACAAAUAUAUAAUAUAGAUAGCAAGAAAAAGAAAUCAAAUGAUUCUAACCUAACCUAUAUUUCGCAUUGCCGAAUGGGUCAUAUAAACCAAAAGCGCAUUCACAAGUUACAAAAGGACGGUAUAAUUCCAUCAUUUGAUUUCGGAUCAUUUGAUGUAUGUGAAUCAUGCUUAAUGGGUAAGAUGACAAAAUCACCAUUUACUGGAAAAGGUGAAAGGGCCAGCGAUCUUUUAGGACUCAUACAUACAGAUGUAUGUGGUCCUAUGAGCACAAAGGCAAGGGGAAGUUUUAAUUACUUCAUCACCUUCACUGAUGAUUUGAGUAGAUAUGGCUAUAUUUACUUGAUGAAACAUAAGUCGGAAUUUUUUGAUAAAUUCAAAGUGAAGUACAGAAUCAACUUGGUAAGACAAUAAAAGCACUACGAUCCGAUCGUGGUGGUGACUAUUUAAGCCAUGAUUUUGAUGAUCAUCUAAAGGAUUGUGGAAUUCUUUCACAAUUAACUCCUCCAGGAACACCACAGUUAAAUGGUUUAUCUGAAAGGAGGAAUCGAACAUUACUAGAUAUGGUUCGAUCUAUGAUGAGUCUUGCUAAUCUACCGAUUUCUUUUUGGGGAUACGCUCUCGAAACUGCUGCACACACACUAAAUAGGAGCCCGUCAAAGGUUCACUAGGGGAAAAAAAAAGAAAAGCUGCGCAGGAAGGCUGUGCUUUUUAUAUAAGCGCAGCCCUAUAAAUGAAGGGCUGCGCUUUUCUACAAAAGCGCAGGAUUA